GUGAUGAACAAAACGGAGCGGUUUCUCCUACACAAAUAAUAUUUUGGGAAAAACUGAACAUUUGCUAUCUAACUGAGAGUCUUCUCAUUGAAAACAUCCGAAGUUCUUCAAAGAUUCAAUCUGCUGAUGCCCAAAAUGUCCCAGGUGUCCAGCAAGCCAAGGCCAGGAAAUACUACAGUACUACGAGGGAGGCUGUUGUUAUCUGCUUCUGUGGCUUCCUACAUGACACACUAACACACCUGAGUGACCAGUCUGUCUGUCUGCAGAGGUCCACCAUCACCAUAACAGAAGCCCACAGCUCCUUGUGCUCAACACAGGCAGUACUUAAGAAGUACAAAUCCAGAUUUUGGAGACACUGAACUGGAAACCCUGGUGGACCACUUCCUGUCCUGGAGACCUCUGGCAUACAUGUUGAAAGGAUCCCUGACCAGUGGACUGUCCUGGAGACCUCUGGCAUCCAUGUUGAAAGGAUCCCUGACCAGUGGACUGUCCUGGAGACCUCUGGCAUCCAUGUUGAAAGGAUCCCAACCAGUAGACUGUCCUGAAGGUGCUGUAUGUACCAAGAGCUUCAGUCCCUGCAGAAGAUGUCCUGGUUCCGUGUCUACAUGAGCCAUCAGCAUUCCUGCCCUGAUUUGCUGGCAUUGGUUGUCCUAGUCGUGUCCAUCCCCGCCUCCACAACUGAAUGUGAAAGAGGUUUUAAUACCAUGAAACAGGUGAAAACCAAUUGGCGGUCCAACCUAAAGCCUGAUACAAUAUUAGAUCUUCUUAUGGUCCAGCUGUUCUCUCCAGAGAUCAGGGAGUGUGAUCCGAUAAAAGCUGUGAUGCUGUGGCUUCAGGACCGUGCAAAUGGGGUGAUUGCAGUAGAGAGUGAGGAGUCUGAUGAGGAGGUUUAAGUUGAUUAAAAUGAUUAAGCAUCUGAUAGGUUUACAAAACCUUCAAAUGUACUUUUACAUUUGAUCCUUAAGUACAUUUAAUAGCAAAUACUUCAGUAGAAUUUUGAGUUCAAGACUUAUUCAGUUGUAUUCAGUCUGGGAAACUAAAUCUAGCCACAGCCAAAAUUAACCAGUAUCUGAUAAGUCUCUAUUUUACCUGUAUUUUAUCAGGGUAUUUCUACUCAAAGUACAGGAUUUGUAGACCUGCUUUCCCUGUUUCCCCUUUGUAUCAGUGUCCACUGCACUGCUUUCUCAUAAUUGUAUCUUACCAUUGUUGUUGCCCUGUUUUGACUUCUAUGUAAUCAUAUUCAUUGGAUCUGAUAUGUUUUGUUUAUUUAAUAGUGUGCCCACUGUUUGGCGUUUUUGGUCAACUACAGUCAACUACAGUUUUUAAACGAGUUCUACAAAUAAACUUGAUUUGAUUAACCGUUGAUCAAUAUAUUAAAAUA